AUGGUAUGUGAUAACUGCAACAUCAACUACGCGCCUAAAGAUUGUUUCCUCAAUGAGACGAUCUCAGAUUGCAACAUUGACAUGACAUAUCUGUUAUUGUUAUCUGAUCAUGAGGACACGAUCAGUGAGCCGACCUCACCAAAGGAAGAAGAGGUCGUCCAUGUCACGGCCCCACCAACCAAGACCAGAUCUCUGGGCCACGAAAACCGCAACAAGCAACAGAAGAACGUCUCGAGGUACAACACCCCGAAAGGAAGAGAGGAGGGAAUCGAAGAGUACACCCUACAACCAAUCUCGUUGCACAAGGUGAUGCUCGUAGAGGUAGAUACUGAAGCGAGCAAUAGCAUGUCACACUCAACCGUCACAACGGCGACACCGGAAAAAGUCACAGAAACCUUGAACCCGCCCACACCAAAAUCUACGGAGGAUGAGCUCUAG
rnacentral:rRNA from 1 species